rnacentral:misc_RNA from 1 species
CGUCCCUCAAGCCCCCGCGCUUGGUGUUGGGCGCCCCGCGGCCCUCGGUCGCGGGCGCCCCAAAUGCAUCGGCGGUCCCGCCUGGCGGCUCCCUGCGUAGUAGAACCUCUUCUCGCAUCGGGUCCCGGGCGCGGCCUGCCGCUAAACAACCCCCAAUCGUACCAACGG